CCUACGGGAGGCUGCAGUAGGGAAUCUUCCACAAUGGGCGAAAGCCUGAUGGAGCAACGCCGCGUGGGUGAAGAAGGUCUUCGGAUCGUAAAACCCUGUUGUUAGAGAAGAAAGUGCGUGAGAGUAACUGUUAACGUUUCGACGGUAUCUAACCAGAAAGCCACGGCUAACUACGUGCCAGCAGCCGCGGUCAUACGUAGGUGGCAAGCGUUAUCCGGAUUUAUGGGGCGUAAAGGGACAGCAGGCGGUCUUUUAAGUCUGAUGUGAAAGCCUUCGGCUUAACCGGAGUAGUGCAUUGGAAACUGGGAGACUUGAGUGCAGAAGAGGAGAGUGGAACUCCAUGUGUAGCGGUGAAAUGCGUAGAUAUAUGGAAGAACACCAGUGGCGAAAGCGGCUCUCUGGUCUGUAACUGACGCUGAGGUUCGAAAGCGUGGGUAGCAAACAGGAUUAGAUACCCCAGUAGUC
rnacentral:rRNA from 1 species